rnacentral:lncRNA from 1 species
GAGUCCUUCCUUGGAGAGUGUCCUAGGCCUGGCGGGUUCGUUUAUCUUUUUUCUUUCUCCAGAAUGGAGUGGAAGACACUCUGUCUGAGACCUCAGUUUCAUCUCUGCCUGGAAUAGUCAAGAAGCUCCAUUGAUGCUUGUAAGGGAUUUUCUGCUAGAAUUGAGUCUUCUGUCCCAAAGAACUGUCAGAAGUGACAGAAAUGCACAAGUGGGAGGAGAAAUGUGAUCAGUCACUCAUAAGAGAAAAUGAAAUGAAUGUAAUAAACACCUUCAUUGGAAUGAGAACCGACAUUUAUAAGUUCAUCAGAAAAUGUCUACAUUUCCUGUCUUACUCCCUUUCCUGGUCAGCGGAAUGGAUCAAUGCAGCACUGGCAAUCUCAUGCCAACAUCAACUCGAAAACUUUGACAGUGAUCCAGGAAGUUGAACAUUUACUUAAGUUGAAGCAUAUCACUGGUGCAGCUAUCAAUGGAGCUACCCACAGUUUUUCAACUACAAUGUAAGUGCUGUGACAUUAGCUGUGCUCUUUCUCA